UACGUAGGGUGCAAGCGUUGUCCGGAAUUAUUGGGCAUAAAGAGCUCGUAGGCGGUCUGUCGCGUCUGCUGUGAAAAUCCAGGGCUCAACCCUGGACCUGCAGUGGGUACGGGCAGACUAGAGUGCGGUAGGGGAGAUCGGAAUUCCUGGUGUAGCGGUGAAAUGCGCAGAUAUCAGGAGGAACACCGGUGGCGAAGGCGGAUCUCUGGGCCGUAACUGACGCUGAGGAGCGAAAGCAUGGGGAGCGAACAGG
rnacentral:rRNA from 1 species